GUGUCAGCCGCCGCGGUAAGACAGAGGGUGCAAACGUUGUUCGGAAUUACUGGGCGUAAAGCGCGUGUAGGCGGUUAUGCAAGUCGGGUGUGAAAGCCCCGGGCUCAACCCGGGAAGUGCAUUCGAUACUGCGUAGCUAGAGUACUGGAGAGGAUGGUGGAACUCUCGGUGUAGAGGUGAAAUUCGUAGAUAUCGAGAAGAACACCGGUGGCGAAGGCGGCCAUCUGGACAGAUACUGACGCUGAGACGCGAAAGCGUGGGGAGCAAACAGGAUUAGAAACCCCAGUAGUCC
rnacentral:rRNA from 1 species